UACGUAGGAGGCAAGCGUUGUCCGGAAUUACUGGGUGUAAAGCGCGUGUAGGCGGCAGGCCAAGUCUGUGGUGAAAUCGCUCGGCUCAACUGGGCGGGGUCCAUGGAAACUGGUCAGCUGGAGGACGGUAGAGGUGAGUGGAAUUCCCGGUGUAGUGGUGAAAUGCGUAGAGAUCGGGAGGAACACCCGUGGCGAAGGCGGCUCACUGGGCCGGUCCUGACGCUGAGACGCGAAGGCGGGGGGAGCGAACGGG
rnacentral:rRNA from 1 species